UACGAAGGGUGCUAGCGUUGUUCGGAAUCACUGGGCGUAAAGCGCACGUAGGCGGUCCGCACCAGUCAGGCGUGAAAGCCCCGGGCUCAACCCGGGAAUAGCGCUUGAUACUAGCGGGCUAGAGUCCGGGAGAGGGUAGUGGAAUUCCCAGUGUAGAGGUGAAAUUCGUAGAUAUUGGGAAGAACACCAGUGGCGAAGGCGGCUACCUGGACCGGUACUGACGCUGAGGUGCGAAAGCGUGGGGAGCAAACAGG
rnacentral:rRNA from 1 species